AGGUAGGAUGGCCGAGAGUUAGGCGGUGGUUUGUAGCUCCAUGAACAGGGGUUAAA
rnacentral:tRNA from 1 species